rnacentral:snoRNA from 1 species
AAACAAGAGUUGAGCCAACUGUGCUCUUUUCCCCAAGCAGGCUCAGUGUGCAAUGGCUGCAAACAGCAGCCUCCUUCGUAGUGUAGGCAUUUUGCUGCCUAUACAGGUUGCCCUAAGGGACCUUGGAGACAACU